rnacentral:rRNA from 1 species
CCAAAAACGGAAAUUAAAAUCCUUUUUAGAAUAAAGUUAAUCUACUAAACUUAAUAGGUUAAAUUAUUAUAAGUUAUAUGAAUUAUGGAAAUUCAAGUACCACCAGUCCAAAACAUUAAAUAUUAUAUAAUUAUAAAUUUAGUAAAACUUAUUUGUUAAGGUUAAUACGGUGCCAGCAACCGCGGUCAAACCAUAUUAAUAAAUAAUCUUUAGAAAAUCUAUCUCAAUAUUUAAAUUUUCGUGUGAGGCGUACAGUGAAAUGUAGCUUUCAAAGUCAUAAUUAAUAAUUUAUUUAUUCAAGUAAAUAGGUUAAAAAACUAGGAUUAGAUACCCUACUAUUCUUAUAAUAAAUAAAGUAGAUUUGAGGAGUAAACCUGUUAAGAAACUCAAAAGUCAUGGCGGCUGUUAAAAACCAUUAGGGGAGCUUACCAAGUAAUUGACAACCAUCAAGAAAUCAUUUCUUUAGUUUAAAGUUUGUAUGCCGUCGUCAAAAAUUUUUUUAAGAAAAAUUUGUAUUCAAAUAUAGAUUUUUAAAGACAGAUCAAGGUGCAACUAAUACUAAUGUUUAGGCGAGCUACAAUAGUUGCCUACUUAUCGAAUAAAUAACUAAAAAGUUAGAUGAAGUUGGACUUAAAAGUAAAACAAAAAUAACAAUUAAUAUUUGAAUGCCAUAUUUAACAGUGU